GGGGGCGCACUGGUUUCGACGGGGACGUAGAAGCCGGAGUUGCAGGCCGAGGCGCCGCUGGCCUCGUAAAAAGCGGCACAAAAGUAAUUGCCAACAAUUACGACUACGCUCUGGCUGCUUAAUUGACGGCCACGUCGAACCGGUUCACGCCUGAUAGACCGGUGAGACGUAACUUCAUCAGGCUGGCAUCUGACGGCGCUCGCCGCGAAGGGUGCGAGAAAAACAGGUGAGCUGGUCGAAGGUUGCCUGGUCGGGGGCGAAACCUGAGAUGACGAUUGUACUCGACCUAAGCCUGUAGACGCUUCGUGUGGAACAUUCUCGGACGCGGGUUCGAUUCCCGCCGCCUCCACCA
rnacentral:tmRNA from 20 species